GAUGGCCUGCACUCUAGGGGUCUGCAUCAGAUUCCUAAUCUGGGGGUCGCGCGUUCGAAUCGCGCCGGGAUCACCA
rnacentral:tRNA from 1 species